rnacentral:rRNA from 1 species
UACGGAAGGGGCAAGCGUUGUUCGGAAUCAUUGGGCGUAAAGGGCGCGUAGGUGGUUUUGUGUGUCUACCGUGAAAGCAUACAGCUCAACUGUAUUUUGUCGGUAGAAACUGCAGGACUUGAGGCUGGGAGGGGCUGGUGGAAUUCCCUGUGUAGCGGUGAAAUUCGUAGAUAUUGGGAAGAACACCGAUGGCGAAGGCAGCCAUCUGGACCGACACUGACGCUGAGGCGCGAAAGCGUGGGGAGCAAACAGG